UCACUCAAGUGUUUUGAAGGUGGCCCCACCUUAACGGCAUCAUAAGACAAAGCUGCCAGCACAAGACUGAGAGGAAUGUCCCACCAGAGAUCCACCUGGGGACUUGAGGGCAGCGCCAGGGCCUUACGUCCAGAAAGGCUUGCCUCUGUCUCUCCAGAGCCUCUGUGUGCUGUUCACAUAUGAACUUGCACAGAGCCCCUCAAUGUCAACAAAGGAUGUCACUUCAGAAACUACCAUGCUUGUGUUGUAUGUAGGGACAUACAGGCCCCAGGCUGUCCAUGCCCAGGCAUGCCUCCAGUUCAUUAAGGGCCACUGCACACUCAUAUAGCGCGGUCUUAGACUGUCCCAGGGCUGUCAUUCUCUGAGCUGUUAUACUGAUAAAACAUGCUUACAUGAUAGCUGGAAACAGGAAACACUUUCCUGUCUUAAAAACAAUCAGAAUCAACUGUUUUUUUCCUCAGGUUUAAAAAAAGUUAUUGUUAACAAAACUAAACCAACUAGCUAUUCUGGAGGCAGAUAGAAGGACUGUGAUUUGAGGCCAACUCAGGCAAAAGUUAGUGAAACCCUAUGUCAAAAACAAGCCAAGCAUGUAACAUGUGUCUGUGGUCCCAGAUACAUGGGAGGCAGCAGUAGGAGGAUUAGGCACAAGCAUAAGACCAGCAGCAAAAGGACUGGUGCUGUGAUUCAAAUGGUAGAAUGCUUAAGAUCUUGGAUUCCGCCCCUAGCAAUUCUGGGUAGCAAUUCUGAUUGUGGCAUCACUUUCAGGGCUUAAAGACUCUUUCUCUCU